GGGAUCCCGGUCUUCUACCUCUGAGGUCUCUAUGUCUCAGGGUCUUCUUUGCCAGGAGAUCUUGGGGAUCCUGGACUUGUAUCCGGGAGAUCUUGGGGAUCCCGGUCUUCUACCUCUGAGGUCUCUAUGUCUCAGGGUCUUCUUUGCCAGGAGAUCUUGGGGAUCCUGGACUUGUAUCCGGGAGAUCUUGGGGAUCCCGGUCUUCUACCUCUGAGGUCUCUAUUGUAAUAUCCGGCUCGAGUCCGGCCUCAGAAUUCCUGUAGUUCGGUAGAAUCUCGAGUGUCGAAACCCUCGAGAAGGGUACUACAUAUGUUUUCAUGUGUGUUUUAAGAGUUUUGAAUGGUUUCAAGUGUGAAAGGAAAUAAGUUUUGAAAGAAAAGCAACAAGGGAGAAAUGCAAAGGUUCGGCCGCCGAAGGUCACUUUCGGCCGCCGAACAUUGCAUGGUUUCGGAUUCACGUUCGGCUGCCGAAGGUGGUCUGGCCAGCCACCUAUAAAAGGGCCAAGGGUCGGUGGAAGGAGGCUAUUUCUCCUCCACUUGCAGCCAGAGGUGAGUUCCAGCCUCUCUCACGUUGACUUUCAUGGUUUUUAUGAUUUCCUUCAAAUCUUUCCACGGUUUUCAGAGUUUUGAUGAUUUUGAAGGUUUUAAGCAAAAAGAACAAAGUUUGAAGCUUGGCGAGUUUGAGAACGGAUUUCUCUAUAUCUCCACAUUAGGAUCGUGUAAUCUCUUGUUUAGAAGAGGUAAGUACAGAUCCUGAACCUUCUUUGUUGAUUUUUGAAGGUUUUAUGAAGUUUGUAUGGGUAGUAUGCAUGUUUAGGUUUAGGUGAGGUUUUUGGUGCUCUUUCAUGUUUAAGUGUUAUGUGCUAUGUUUGUUUGGGGUUUAGGAUAGUUUGAGACCUCUUUGUGCAUAUAUAUGUGUAUGUGCUAGUUGGGAGUAGUUGAUAUGCAUGUUGUAGGUUUUUGGGCAAAGUUUGCAUGAAACAGAGCAGGGUUCUGCCCAUCGGGCAAAACCAGGUUCGGCCGCCGAAGGAAGGUUCGGCCGCCGAACCCCUUGUGGAGGCAGUUUAGGCUGCCAAAGCUUGCCCCCAAAACUUGGGACUUUCGUCUCUGGAGGCAAGGUUCGGCCGCCGAAAGUGCCGCCGAAGGUUGAGUUUCGUCUCUGGAUGAGACUUUCGGCCGCCGAAGGUGCCGCCGAACAUGCAUGAGUUUCGUCUCUGGAGAGGGGUUUUGGCCGCCGAACCUGCCACCGAAAGUGCCCUGUCCAGCUUUCUUUUGCAUGAUUUAUGUGCUUGUUUGGGGAUCUUGUAGAGGGUUUUUGGGGGAGUGUUUUACAGAGGUUCUUGAGUUAGUUUGGUCCCUCAUUUGAGUCCACCUGUGUAGGUACGGACCAGAGGAAUCAGGGAGGUCAGCAGUGAGUCCAGUUUCCGACCUGCAGAGUCAGUUCAGAGUCAACCCGAGGUGAGUGGAACUGAACUUAGUAUUUUACUAUGAGAAACGAGUAUUUUAUCAUGCUUCAUGCAUCAUGAAUAUGCUAUAGGGUGAGUGCAUUAGUGUACACGAAUAUGAUGCAUUGCAUUUAUCCUUGAUUCUAUGACUGUAUGGACAUAGUAAGGAUUCAAUAGCCCUCAGAGGAAAGACCUGGAACAGCCCUACGGGGACCAGGCAUAAAGACCGAGAACAGCCCUACGGGGACUAGGCAUAAAGACCUAGAACAGCCCUACGGGGACCAGGCACAAAGACCUGGAACAGCCCUAUGGGGACCAGGCAUAUGGUAUAGAGGGAGUGUUGAUCCGUCCAUGCUGAGAUGUGAUUACUUGUGAUGUGAUACAUUGCAUGAGAGCAUGUUUUAUCACCUGUUCUUUAUUACUGUUCUACUCACUGGGCUAUAGUAGCUCAUCCCUCUCCCCUAACUCCAGUUGUGCAGGUUCAGAAUUCAGAGGGAAGUCAGCAGGGUACAGGAAGAGUAUAUAGUUUGUAAUAGUUAGUCAGUGUGGACAUGUAAAUGUAAAGAGAUAAUGUAUGUGUACAGUGUAUAGAAUGGUGCUUGAUUAUAAGAGUUGUAAUCCCUUUUUGUGUUUUCACAUGAUCAGUUUAUGUUUAUAUAUUGUUGUAUGUUUAUGAGAAAACCAGGCUUAACAUUAUGAGUUUUAUCCGCCUAGAGCAAUGAGGAGCUCUAGUAGGGAUUGGUAGAGAACAGAGAUAGUACAUGCACAGGUUAAGCCUUGGAAUGAAGAAAAGUUUUAUGUUUUUUUUUUACAGAAAAUAUAUGAUCAUGUAUGGGAUGUCACAGGUUCACAGUCAGGAUAACAGGCUUACUACGGGUCCCGGCGACCUUAAGUCGAUCUGGAUCCUAGUGCCGGUGGCAGUUCGGUUUCCGGGCUGUUAUAUCUAUGUCUCAGGGUCUUCUUUGCUAGGAGAUCUUGGGGAUCCUGGACUUGUAUCCGGGAGAUCUUGGGGAUCCCGGUCUUCUACCUCUGAGGUCUCUAUGUCUCAGGGUCUUCUUUGCCAGGAGAUCUUGGGGAUCCUGGACUUGUAUCCGGGAGAUCUUGGGGAUCCCGGUCUUCUACCUCUG
rnacentral:lncRNA from 1 species